AUUGAACGCUGGCGGUAUGCUUUACACAUGCAAGUCGAACGGCAGCACGGGGGCAACCCUGGUGGCGAGUGGCGAACGGGUGAGUAACAUAUCGGAACAUAUCCGGAAGUGGGGGAUAGCUCGGCGAAAGCCGGAUUAAUACCGCAUAUGCCCUGAGGGGGAAAGGGGGGAUCGCAAGACCUCUCGCUUUCGGAGUGGCCGAUAUCAGAUUAGCUAGUUGGUGGGGUAAAGGCCCACCAAGGCGACGAUCUGUAGCUGGUCUGAGAGGACGACCAGCCACACUGGAACUGAGACACGGUCCAGACUCCUACGGGAGGCAG
rnacentral:rRNA from 1 species